AAACGUCUCUCCUCCUUUCCCACGCAGGCCCUCGGCAGCCCACAGCACACCAGCAACACCGCGGGAGGAGGGGGAGCGCCGUACAUCCCGGCUGGGCGGCUCGGAGCACCACGGCAUCGCGCCUGGUCCUACAUCUCACCUCUAGCGACUGGGCUUCUACGCUAGCCCAGACGUGGUCCUGCACACGCCCCCGCGCCAGAGAUGCCCGAAGCAGAGUAUUGCACCUUCCCUCGCACCUGAACACAGCGAACGCAAUUCAGCCAAGCUCCAUGCUGUUCUCACCUCAGCAAGAGGAAACAAGCCUGUCCACCUCGUCCCCCUGCCAGGCACCGCUCGCUCUCCAAAGCUCUCCGACGCUGCCUGCGAGCGGGGCCCAAGGACGGCUCUGCGCGCUGGCUCCCACCGCCCCAGCGCCUGGCCUGCACAAGUUGAGCAGGGAAAGGGGGGCAACAGGAGAAAACAAGCUACAGCAGCACUAGUGUUAACUUCCUAGGGACUUAGCUUACAGAAACUGGCAUUUUAAAAACUACUGUUUCCUAAAAUACGGUUUUGUUAUAAAUAAUACCAUGUAUGCAACACCUGUAAUCACCUUCUAAAAAACAUACACUACAUGUGCCUCAGAGUACAAAAUUACAACCAGUGUAUACAAUAUGUAUGUUCUGGAAAUCUUGCUUUUCUUUAAGUGAAGAGAGUUCACUCUUAAAGACUUAUAUCCAUUCACACAGGCAGAUAAUUAAACAUGUAAUUAAAAAGUUGUAAUUUCUAAAGGAAGAGAAACAGACUAUGCUCAAUUUAUCACCACUGAAAUCCAUUUGCAUCAACCAUUGCUUUUUUUACACCUUGAUUUUUAGACUAUAAUUUUUUUCUUCUUAACCUCCAGAUACGCACUGUCAAGCAUGGUAGGAUGUAAUUAUGGUCUCUACUAGUAUCAAACUGUGUAUGCAGUAAAAUGCAUUCACAUUUUCAUACCUGUUCCCAAAAUAAAGUUUGGGCUGGCUGAAGAGAGAUUCUCGCUUUAUCUAUGGAACAAAUACUGCUUGGACUAAAGGUGCUCAAGCCCCUCAGUGCCUCUCAAAUAAAUUUCAUGUUUGAAAGGAUGAAGCAAAUGUAACGAGCUAAUUCAUUCUUCAGUCUCUAGCACAUUCAGUACGUUUGCUAUCUGCUGAGACUUCCAGUCAGUGGAAGUCAAGUCUCUUGACUAAUUAUGCAAGCCCUUAAUAUGACACACUCACUUCAUGCAGGUCAGAUAACAGCAGUUAACUCUGUAAAUAGCAAACCAAGCUCUAUCCAAGUCCGUGAAAUGCAGCUGAAAUGCUACAGCCUAUCAGCAGAACAAAUAUACUGGAGUAACACUGCACUCAUGUGUGGUCAUUACCCAAGGAGGCAGGAUUAUAACUGCCUGGAUAACCUUUUAAUGUGAGAGUUAUCUUAUGUAUGUGGCAUUAUCAAAGCACAUAUAUUUCAUUUGUGCAAAACAUUUCAAGGCUAAAAUCAAUUACAUCCUUUAUUUAAGAAGUUAGUAUAUAAUUACAGAUGUCAUUUUUGUAAUGCAGAAUUUUGCUACAAUUUGUAUUAUAUAGGAAGGACUGAAAGAUUCAGUUCUGCAGUUUCCAGGAGAAUCAAGUCCCAAAGUUUUGAUAUUCCUUGUGAAAAUGCAGUUUUUAUGUUGCUAUUAGAAGAGACUGCAAGGAAGAGCUGCAGUAUGCAGAGUAUAGGAAAGGAGAUUUCUCAAAAUGACAUUCUGAGUAUUUUCACUCAAAAUGGUGCCAUUUGUCUUGAUUUGAAAGUCUGUCAUAAAAUGAGAUUCUAACAGUCCCUUAAAAUUUUUCUAAAUCAAAUGCCUUCAGUUACAUGUAUUAUCUCUACAGUUUCCACAACCAUGGCUUUACAUCAACAUUUAGAAGACAAGUCAUAUUCUUUACAGUAGAUUUACUAUCACUUGAAAAAGUCUCCUUACAGGAUGCAGUCACAACGGCCACACAGAUGGCUACAGUGCAGAGUAAAAAACAAGCACCAUUUUGCAGUCUGUUUUCUGAUCAGAACCAUCUUUUGCGUUUCCUAGUCAUUUCCUGAUUAACAAAAUAAUGGACCAUCAUGUACACUAUCAUGUAUUUGUAUUUAGAUACGCUUUGAAUCUGAUCACAGUAUUUAAAAAUAAGUCAACUGUGCAGUAAUUAAGAGUAUUGUUCAAACUAAGGAACAAAACCUGUAAUUCUCUAACUCCAAUUACCGGUUAAUGUCCUACAUACAUAAGUAUGAUAAUGGGCAGUUAUUGGGCAGCUAGUGAAAAUGUUAACUUUUUAUAGCCAAGUUCUGGGCCACAUCACUUUGCUUUCAGAUUACAGACAGGAAGAUCAGCAAAACAAGGCCCUGCCUACAGAAAAAGUCAUCGUUAGGAAAUGAAGGGCAGCGUUUUUCUCAAAGGAGCUAAGUUGCAAUGGGAAAAUGGGACAGGACAGUGACAGAGCUAGAGAGAUCUUUUCACGCCUCACUUUCUAAUUUGAUGAAACUUGCCAUUAUAACCUCAUGACCCCCAAGCCUUUAGCAGCUUUCAGGAACAAUCAGCUAAAGCACAUAACCCCAUCAGGUUAACAAACUACCAGUCUUUCUCCUCUCACAGGCAUCAGGCUAAAGAGAGAGCUCUCCACGUUAAACACCACCACCACCCGACUAAGUAUAAAAGAGCUUGACUGAAAACUUGAAAAGCCCAUUUCCAAAACUGUGGGCACAUCUGGAUAUAUCUAGAUGUUCAAGAAAGAAGAGGGAGGAAGGGGGAGACCUGAGCCGGCUUCAGGAGCCAGCUGAGUCUGCUCCCAGAGUCGUGAGGGAGAAGGCUCAAGAGCAGAGAGGAGUGCAAGAGAGGAGAUUGUGACAUGCUAGUCUGAAUACUUCUAUGUAACAAAUGCUCCAUCUGAAACAGACUUAAAUCAUUCUUAAGAAAAAAGCUACAUAAAUAAUUACAAGUUUUAAUAAAAAAUCCAGGGUGGGAAAUGUCCUUUUGUUUACUAGAUAAAAAAACAAUUAUUUUACUUUUCAGAUGCAUCAAGAAAAAAUAAUUCAGAAAAAUACAUGAAUGUAAUAUUCUUAGGUAUAAGCAAACUGCAUUCUAGAGGUGUAACAAUACAAGAACUGAGAAUCUGGACGUAAGCCUGUUGAACAAAUUUACAGAAAAGAGUGACUGAUCUAGAAGUGAAGAAAAAGAUUAAUAGCUCACAGUAAAGAAA